CCGAGAGAGGGGCUUCGCGCUCUGGGGGGGUUUCGGCCCCCAACUCUUCACCCUUUGUGUAUCUACCCUUUGUUGCUUUGGCGGGCCCCGGGGGUCACCCCGCGCUGGCUUUCGGGCCGGUGAGCGUCCGUCAGAGGCCCAAUAAAUUCCGUGUGAAUCAGUGACGUCCGAGUAAAAACACAAAAUAAUA
rnacentral:misc_RNA from 1 species